AACCCAAUUCCAUUCUCUCUCUAAAAACUCAGAACUCAGUCUUCUUCUCUCUAUCUUCUCUCUACCAUUCCCUUACCUUCAGCCAUUACAUGUUUGAUUAGGUGGUGCUCAAGUGACCGCGGCGCAGAGAGUUUUGCAACCAUCCGAUUAUAUUCUCGUUCUUCAGCGGGGUGUUGUGCGUUUCGCUAUGAGAGGUUCUGUGGAGUCGUUGUUGUGAGUUGUAUUAUGAGAACCCUAGUUUGGAGAUGCUUAAACGACGAUGGCGAGGUUUACGUUUCUACUCGAUCAAUUUCUUUCACAGAGUAAGUAAAUUUUUGCUCUUUUUUCUCUUUCGCUGUUUGUUUCUAAAUUCUCUGGUUUAGGAGUGACACAUGGGUCGUCCACUUUCCUUUUCUUGUUCCUUGUUGACUAGUGGUCCUAAGGACUCACUUCGUUUUCAAUUUUGCGGGUUGUAAGCGUUUCUAAGUUUCCUUGAGUUGAAAGCAACGAUGUUGGUGUUUUAGAGCUCACUAGCUUCAGUGUAGGGUAAGGGAAGCUAGUUGUCUAUCUCUAAAUUAUGGUUGUUGUGUAAGUUUGGUGUUUGUAUGUAUCUUAAAUUGAUUUAGUUAUAAUUACAAUAAUUACGUUAGUGUUAAUGCAUUUAAAUGAGUAUAGUUGAUUAUUUGAUGAUUGAUUUCUUAUGUGUUGUAAUUUUGAAGUUAUGACUGUCAAUAAAUUGUAUGUUAUGAAGUUGUAUUGAUGUGGCGUAGUUGAGCCCCUUUUAAGGGCGUCUAAGCGCCAUUUUUCAGUGAGCAAUCUGGCUCGUUGGCACUAAGCCCCCCAUUCUAGUAGACUUUGGCCCUAGGCGCCUCAUUCUAAGCGUUGGACAUCCUUUUUCAGAUUCUUGGUUAUGUGGUUUUUAAGUUGUUUUGUGAUUAUUGAUGCAUUGUUAUGACACUUUGAUGGAUGUUGAAUGAUUUCAUAUGUUUGCUAUAUGAAGUUAGGUAUAUGUGAAUGAAAGGUGUGGAAAAGAGUUCUAAGGAGGAAAUUUUUAUUGAUGGUUUCAAGUGUUGUUAGUAUGAAUGUAUGCAACUUGAUUUUAGAGGGUUAUCCUGAUACUCUAAUGAUCAUCUAGACUCAAAUAGAGAGAGAUGAUUCAUGUGGUGAGAAUAACAGGAGGUCUUAGUUUGGAACCUUUCUCCAAUUGGUAAAUGGCGCUUUAACGAACUAACCUUGUGUGGUAGUUUUGAGUGGGUCAGCUAUUCCGCCACACAAGUGAAGAACCUUCCAUAACUUUAUGUUCAUACUAUAUCCGGAUAGUCCAGUCUAGGUUUUGAAAUUAUUAAGAUGUUUGGAUUGCUUUGUGUGAAAGUUUAUCAUGUAUGAAAUAUUAAUGAAUAUUAUGAUUUGUUUGGUAUCACUAGCUUACCCUUCUGUUUGUGUCUUGUCUUCUGGUUAUAGUUGUUUGUUGUGUUCACAAUGAUCAUCUGGUGGUUGUAAGCAGAGGAAAAUGAUGUGACUGUGAAACAAACUUUAGACAGAAACAACUCAGAUGCACAAUAAUUUUAGAAGUUAUAUUCCUUUUAAGUUAUGUUAUGAUUGAUUUGAAUAUAGAACCAUUUAUGUACAAUAGUUGUAUAUUGUAUAUAAAUUUAGUUUUUAUAGUUGAAUUAGAUGACUCUAAAAUAACUUUAUGUUUUUCUAGUUAAUUGAUUUACUGUAUUACAUGUGAUAGUUCUUUUAUAGUUUAAUAUUAUAUCUUUUUAUUUUUUUGGAUGUUACAUAUAUUACAUCAUAAAAAUUAU